UUCACCGUGUUAAACAGCCAAUUAAACAAAUACGGAAAGGCCUUAAACAAACAGGAAUCUGGCCACUUCUUUCAGAUAGGCCAGAUGUCCAUCCCUUAAUUUUCCAAAGGGAGUCAAGUGAGAAGCUUAACCCACAGACUAUGAUCCAGAGCAUUACCUGGCCACAACCCAACUUUGACAGCGACGAGGAUGAGGACGACACUGUUCCAGUGGAGAAAAUCAGUCUUGUCACUGGAUUUUUGAGAAAAUUCAUAGAUGAAGCGUCACCAGAUGUGCUGCGUGACCUGAUGAAGUUUUGGGUGGGGUGUGAACUGCCAACAAGAAAACUCAACGUUGAGGUUGUAACCUCAAUUUAUCCAGUGGCUCUCACCUGCUUCUUCAAGUUGAAGCUCCCCAGCCACUACCAGACCUACAAGAUUUUUCACCAGGACUUGAUGAUGGCCCUCAGUUCCAUAAGUUCUGGCUUUGGACUUGUAGGUGCAAAUGUCAUCAACUUCUUGCACUCAGUCCCUCUUUUGAAAUGGAAUCACUUAAGAGCAAUUCCUGCACCAGUAACUUUAUAAAGUUUGCUUAUUCUAGUUGAUUGUCAGGCACCACCUUCACCUGUCAAUAAAUACUUUGGAGUUGGUUUGGAGAUUGUCUGUAGCCUGUGUUUUUUUUUUGUUUUUUUUUAAUGUGCACUAGUUCUUUAGUGAUUUUCAUAUUCUUAAUCUAGCUGCUGGUGUACUUUUGUGAUGUCCUCUGCAGUGCAAUGAGCUUGGAUCAUCUCUUUGAGAGCUGUGGCAGCUUUCUUGGCUUCUAGUUCAUUAAGCUCAGACUUCUAUAGACAUUUAGUUGUAGUUAUUGAAGUUUAUACAGCUAGUACAUGUUUAAUACAUUCAAAUGUUUAGGUAAAUACCAGUUUCUACAAUAUUACUGUUGCCAUUUUACAGUUCUGUUCUAAAUGACAGUGUAUACCUAACAAUGUUGUUUUUUGUAAAGCCUAUUUGUUUAAAUUGUUACCCCUUUACAGUGAUGUGUUGUAGAUACAACU